rnacentral:rRNA from 1 species
UGGGGAAUUUUGGACAAUGGGGGAAACCCUGAUCCAGCCAUCCCGCGUGUGCGAUAAAGGCCUUCGGGUUGUAAAGCACUUUUGGCAGGAAAGAAACGUCAUGGGUUAAUACCCCGUGAAACUGACGGUACCUGCAGAAUAAGCACCGGCUAACUACGUGCCAGCAGCCGCGGUAAUACGUAGGGUGCAAGCGUUAAUCGGAAUUACUGGGCGUAAAGCGUGCGCAGGCGGUUCGGAAAGAAAGAUGUGAAAUCCCAGAGCUCAACUUUGGAACUGCAUUUUUAACUACCGGGCUAGAGUGUGUCAGAGGGAGGUGGAAUUCCGCGUGUAGCAGUGAAAUGCGUAGAUAUGCGGAGGAACACCGAUGGCGAAGGCAGCCUCCUGGGAUAACACUGACGCUCAUGCACGAAAGCGUGGGGAGCAAACAGG